rnacentral:tRNA from 1 species
GGGGAUGUAGCUUAGUUGGCAGAGCGCUUGCCUCACAAGCUUGAAGGCCUGGAUUCUGUCUCCAGCACCA